rnacentral:rRNA from 1 species
CCUACGGGAGGCAGCAGUGGGGAAUAUUGGACAAUGGGGGCAACCCUGAUCCAGCCAUGCCGCGUGUGUGAAGAAGGCCCUCGGGUUGUAAAGCACUUUCAGUGAGGAAGAACGCCUGGUGGUUAAUACCCAUCAGGAAAGACAUCACUCACAGAAGAAGCACCGGCUAACUCCGUGCCAGCAGCCGCGGUAAUACGGAGGGUGCGAGCGUUAAUCGGAAUUACUGGGCGUAAAGCGCGCGUAGGUGGCUUGAUAAGCCGGUUGUGAAAGCCCCGGGCUCAACCUGGGAACGGCAUCCGGAACUGUCAAGCUAGAGUGCAGGAGAGGAAGGUAGAAUUCCCUGUGUAGCGGUGAAAUGCGUAGAGAUCGGGAGGAAUACCAGUGGCGAAGGCGGCCUUCUGGACUGACACUGACACUGAGGUGCGAAAGCGUGGGUAGCAAACAGGAUUAGAUACCCUUGUAGUC